rnacentral:rRNA from 1 species
CCUACGGGAGGCUGCAGUGGGGAAUAUUGGACAAUGGGCGAAAGCCUGAUCCAGCCAUGCCGCGUGUGUGAAGAAGGCCUUCGGGUUGUAAAGCACUUUCAGUGGGGAAGAAAGCCUUGGGGCUAAUACCCUCGAGGAAGGACAUCACCCACAGAAGAAGCACCGGCUAACUCCGUGCACAGCAGCCGCGGUAAUACGGAGGGUGCGAGCGUUAAUCGGAAUUACUGGGCGUAAAGCGCGCGUAGGCGGUCUGAUAAGCCGGUUGUGAAAGCCCAGGGCUCAACCUGGGAACGGCAUCCGGAACUGUCAGGCUAGAGUGCAGGAGAGGAAGGUAGAAUUCCCGGUGUAGCGGUGAAAUGCGUAGAGAUCGGGAGGAAUACCAGUGGCGAAGGCGGCCUUCUGGACUGACACUGACGCUGAGGUGCGAAAGCGUGGGUAGCAAACAGGAUUAGAUACCCCUGUAGUC